rnacentral:rRNA from 1 species
AAAGGAAUAGACGGGGGCUCGCACAAGCGGUGGAUCAUGAGGCUUAAUUCGUCGAUAAGCGAAAAACCUUACCGAGGCUAGAAACCAUACUGCACGCUGCCAGAAACGGCAGAAGUCUUCGAGAGUGUAUGGCAGGUGAUGCAUGGCCGUCGUCAGUUCGUGGCUUGAGCUGUUCCCUUAAGUGGGGAAACGAACGCAACCCUCGUUGCCUGUUACAAGUGUCAGGCGAGACUGCUCCCUCACGGGAGAGGAAGGUGAGGAUGACGCCAGGUCAGCAUGUCCCUUGAUGCCUCGGGCUGCACUCGUGAUACAAUGGGACGUACAAAGGGACGCAAUACCGUAAGGUGGAGCAAAUCCUGAUAAAACGUUCCCCAGUUCGGAUUGUGGGCUGCAAUUCGCCCACAUGAAGUCGGAAUCGCUAGUAAUCGUGAAUCAGCACGUCACGGUGAAUACGUUCCCGAGCCUUGUACACACCGCCCGU